AGGGAAUGUAUGAAGUUUAUCAAAUAAGUAGAUAAUUAGUCACAAGUACACAUAAAUCAUUUCUUUUGAGUUAUGUGCUAGUUUAGCAUCUGCUACUUUCAAUUCACUCCAAUUAUGCAUUUAAAUACUGGGGAUUUCUCGGUUCGACACUAUAUAUGACAUGCAUUUGACCAAUUUUUUCUUGUCCUAAUUAAAACCAUCACACAUGACAAAAACCCUAAUUUGCUAAUCAUAAAAUAACCAUAUUAUAUACUGCAAAGAUAAUACCCCCUCUAGGUUUGAUUUCCUCCUCUGGCUCUUUGAUCAGUUUGACGAAGUAGCGCCUCCUUCUGGAGCAUUGCAUGUUCAACUAAGAGCUCCACUAGCUUGUUCAGCUUUGAACAUUGCCUGUUCAGCUUUGAGCAUUGCACGUUCAGUCAAGAGCUCUUCUCGUUCAGCUUUUAGCAUUUCAAUUUCAGCUUUUAAAGAACUUUAAGAAAAAAAAUUAGAAACCAACAACAAAAAAAGUUACAAAGACUAAUUAAUUACUAGCUAACCUUGAGUUCAUCACUAGUAGUCUCUAACAACUUCUUGUUCAAAUCUUCUUUCUCUUGUUCUUCAUCUUGUUUUUGUUGCAGAUGAUCGUUUGGUUUCUCUAAUGUUGAAUCCACCAUGUUUCUUUGAUCUC
rnacentral:lncRNA from 1 species